rnacentral:rRNA from 1 species
GGUUAAGCGACUAAGCGUACACGGUGGAUGCCCUGGCAGUCAGAGGCGAUGAAGGGCGUGCUAAUCUGCGAUAAGCGCCGGUAAGGUGAUAUGAACCGUUAUAACCGGCGAUACCCGAAUGGGGAAACCCAGUGUGACUCGUCACACUAUCAUUAACUGAAUCCAUAGGUUAAUGAGGCGAACCGGGGGAACUGAAACAUCUAAGUACCCCGAGGAAAAGAAAU